UUCCCAACAGUAUUUACAAGAUUAUUAAAUAAUUACCUUAUGGGGAAGUUCUGUCAGAACACCUCUCAUAUUUGGAUGAGUAUUAUAGACUUUGAACCUGUUCAUAAAGCAAUAGCAAGCUUCUUCAGAAAGUCACUGAAUUUUGGGCAUGGGGAGAUAUGCAAUUUCGAGUGCAAGUGCCACAGUGUCAGCUAAAGAAACACAACUGCGGGUUUUCUGCAGAGCAAAAUGGUUCUGAAAUGUCACUGAAUAGCUCACAAAGGACGCCAAUCUACGACAACAGAGACAUAAGCAUAUAGGAGAAAGGGUCCACACAUCCUCCUUUCAAAGGUCACAGAAAGCUUGCUGCAGAUCAGGAAAUGUCUUCAGUUUCCAAAGCCUCUCAUAGCAUGUGGAGAAAAGAGAGAGAAAGGGAGAGAAGAGUCAUGGACCCUACUUUAUGGUUGCCAUGGAUGCAAGGUCAGCCUUCCACACUUGGAUCUACCAGCAGAGUUCAGACAGGUCAACGUGUGACCGGCUCAGGCCCUGGGGUUAAAAGUUCAAGCAGCUAUGGAAAAACCAAUAUGUCCACGCAGAGUAUGCUGUACAAUUUAUUUCAAUUUACAUCAAGCCAUGCAUAUAAAAUUUAGAUAAAUUCCAUUCAGAUCUGAUGUUGCCUGACACACAAUGUAUGCAAACAGAUGUCUGUGGGGCUUUUUCUGUGCUUUAGAAAACAACAUUAAAUUUAAAAAUAUGUCUCUGGGAUUUCUUUAUUGAAUUACAAAAUGAACAUAAUUUUAACUUAAAUGUUUUCAUUCUUUUUUCCAAUUUUUUUGUGUGGGGGUCUUAAUAAUUUCUCAGUUCUCAAUCUACUCUAUGUCAUAUUAAAGAGGAUAAUGUAUAUUUACAACUACAGCUUCAGUGUUAUUGUAGUUAUAGAUUCUAUUUAUAUCCCUUACCACUUUCCGCAAAUAUUUAGUGAUUGAUAUUUCUGAUUUAUCUCUGGUUUCUAGCCUCAUCUCCAUUCCUUUCUACUUUGAACAUAGCAAGUCCUGGAGGCUGCUGGGUCGUCUUCCAGCCACAAGGUGGCUCCCCCAAUCCCUUCUCUCAAGCCAAUCGAUGUACACCUUUGCUGAGUUCUCCAGGCGGACUACAAUUCAGAGCUAAUUAUGAUCUAUAAAUGCCAUUAUUUUCAUUGUGAAGUAAAUGGCUUAUGACCAAGACCCUGGUACACUAAGAUACAAUGCAAAAUUAGUCUUUAAAAAUAGGAGAAAGAAAAAUACCUUUGUAUUUGCCUAAUUUCUCUUCACCCAUCCUUCCAAAAGUACAACUGAGCUAUCCUUAGAGUAAAAUAAGAAAAAUAAUAAAAGGCUCCAGAGGAACCUAAUUUUGUUGUCAAUGAACAUAGUCAUAGACUAGACAAGGUCAAAUUUUAAGAAAAGUAUACAACUUAUUCUCACUUAAACUAGACCUACUUUUGGAUUUGAUAUUUUACCACAAGAGAGUUUUGAUGAGAAGACUUUGCAAAACUUUCUUAGAAGUCCCACAUCAUGCCAUCAUUGAAGAACAGUGAUCUCCAAUACUGCAAGGCUUUAAAAGGAGUGGAAAUAUUACAUAUUUCCUUUUUGUUGCUUAGCAAACAUGUUGCAUAUUUCAUAAAUGUGAUUUUUAUAGAAGACAUCAUAAUUUUCUACAGCUGAAAUAGGCAUAGAAAGACAAAUCAUUCAUCCAAUUACAUGGAAGGUCUUUCUAAAAGUCUGAGUCCUAAUUUCUCACAGUUUUUCAUUUUCUGUUCUGGAGAGAAGCUAUUUAACCUUUGGGCAAGUUUCGUUUUCCUUAUCUGUAAAAUGGAGAUAAAAAUAGGAACUAUGCCUCAUGGGAUUUUUGCCAGGAUUAAAUGAGUUAAUAUACAUAAAGCACUUACAAAAGUCCUUGUUACAUAAUAAAAGCCAUAUAAAUGUUUGUUAUUAUUAUUAUUGUUUAUUUGAGCUCAGUUCCUCCUUGACAAGUACUUCAUGACACAAUCACUUGAGAAAAAUAAACUUUCAUAGAUUUCAUAAAGACCUGAAAAGUAUCAUUUUUUUUGAUACCUGAGAGCUCUGAUCGGGGUAACUGACGGUGUAUGGGCUUUUUCUUCCUCAAGAACUUUAAAAAAUUAGCAUUUUCAUCCCAAUUCAUGGUAUUACUUUCAAUAUGACACUAAAAAAAGAAACUGCUGAUUUCCAAAUCUCAAGCAGGUUUUAGAUAACACUUUAAAAAAUGCAUCAUUUUACUAAAGCAAAAAACAACCAUAAGUAGUGGUUCUAAUAACUUGGUUCCGAUAUUUGUAUUGUAAAUAUUUUCAUGUUACUUUUCCACUAUAUUAAAAAAAAAGUCUUUAGGAGCUUACUCAUGCCAGAAUAUAACUUUGUUAAGCCUCUUGUUAAACUUAGAACGUAUGAGUCCCCUGCUUCUAACAUAAAUAAAUGUUUUGAAUUCCCC
rnacentral:lncRNA from 10 species